rnacentral:rRNA from 1 species
UGGGGAAUAUUGGACAAUGGGCGCAAGCCUGAUCCAGCCAUGCCGCGUGAGUGAUGAAGGCCUUAGGGUUGUAAAGCUCUUUCGGCGGGGACGAUAAUGACGGUACCCGCAGAAGAAGCCCCGGCUAACUUCGUGCCAGCAGCCGCGGUAAUACGAAGGGGGCUAGCGUUGUCCGGAAUCACUGGGCGUAAAGGGCGCGUAGGCGGCCGAUUAAGUCGGGGGUGGAAAGCCUGUGGCUCAACCACAGAAUUGCCUUCGAUACUGAUUGGCUUGAGACCGGAAGAGGUAAGUGGAACUGCGAGUGUAGAGGUGAAAUUCGUAGAUAUUCGCAAGAACACCAGUGGCGAAGGCGGCUUACUGGUCCGGUUCUGACGCUGAGGCGCGAAAGCGUGGGGAGCAAACAGGAUUAGAUACCCUGGGUAGUCCACGCCGUAAACGAUGAAUGCCAGCCGUUGGGCAGCUUGCUGCUCAGUGGCGCAGCUAACGCUUUAAG